rnacentral:rRNA from 1 species
GAUUGAUUUUGAUCCUGGCUCAGGACUAACGCUGGCGGCGUGCUUAACACAUGCAAGUCGAACGGUGAACCCCCCUUGCGGGGGGAUCAUUGGCGAACGGCUGAGUAACACGUGGGCAACCUGCCCCCGGCUCUGGGAUAACCCCAAGAAAUUGGGGCUAAUACGGGAUGUGACUGCUGGCCGCAUGGUCUGGUGGUGGAAAGUUUUUCGGCUGGGGAUGGGCCCGCGGCCUAUCAGCUUGUUGGUGGGGUAGUGGCCUACCAAGGCGACGACGGGUAGCCGGCCUGAGAGGGUGACCGGCCACACUGGGACUGAGACACGGCCCAGACUCCUACGGGAGGCAGCAGUGGGGAAUAUUGCGCAAUGGGCGGAAGCCUGACGCAGCGACGCCGCGUGGGGGAUGACGGCCUUCGGGUUGUAAACCUCUUUCAGCAGGGACGAAGCUUUUGGGUGACGGUACCUGCAGAAGAAGCACCGGCCAACUACGUGCCAGCAGCCGCGGUAAUACGUAGGGUGCAAGCGUUGUCCGGAAUUAUUGGGCGUAAAGAGCUCGUAGGCGGUUCGUCGCGUCGGCUGUGAAAACCCGGAGCUCAACUCCGGGCCUGCAGUCGAUACGGGCGGACUUGAGUUCGGCAGGGGAGACUGGAAUUCCUGGUGUA